CCUCAUCCGAGCAAGACGAGUUCAAAUCCUGACUGCAAAUUGCAAGCUGUGUGGCCCGGGCCAACUCAUUUGAGCUCCGCGAGCUGCUGUGUUGAGCAGAGCUAACAAUAGCCCUGCUUAACAGCCCCGGGGCGGCUGACGCGCUGGGCGCCCGCAGGCAAGGCCCGCCCCAGCCCUCCCGCCCGGCCAGGCAGCGCAGAGGCCCGAGGGCCCGACCGGCUCGCGGCGGCCGCUUAUCAGACCCCGGGCUGGCGCCGGUUACGUAACCCGGCCGCUAAAGCUGUUUUACUUGUCGAUGGAACCCAAAUUAAAAGAGGAAAUUAUUCUCCUGAUGCUCAACUCGCCUAAUCCCCAUCUGUCUCUCCGCUGGUCCCCGGCGCUCGCAUCUAAAGAUUGCCGAGGAUGCCACGCGCAGGAAUCCAUCUUUCAAGCAUGUGUGCCCCAGAGAUCUGCCGAGAGAUGUUAUUGCACCAUUGUGCAUUCAGGAAUAGCAAAAAAGGGGAAACAACGCGUUUCAACAGGGGAGUCAUCAAAUGGAGGGGAACACGGACUUCUUGGAAUAUUGUGUAGCUGAUUUUUAAAAUGGGGGUAGAUCAAGAUGUAGUGAUGUGGAUCAGAUAGUUUAAAUUCUUUUCAAAAAGCAAGCCACGGGAAUAUACAGGAUAUGGUUCCA